UUGAUGAUUCAAUAAAGUUUG
rnacentral:piRNA from 1 species